rnacentral:rRNA from 1 species
UACCAGCACCCCGAGUGGUCGGGACGUUUAUUGGGCCUAAAGCAUCCGUAGCCGGUUCUACAAGUCUUCCGUUAAAUCCACCUGCUCAAUAGAUGGGCUGCGGAAGAUACUAUGGAGCUAGGAGGCGGGAGAGGCAAGCGGUACUCGAUGGGUAGGGGUAAAAUCCGUUGAUCCAUUGAAGACCACCAGUGGCGAAGGCGGCUUGCCAGAACGCGCUCGACGGUGAGGGAUGAAAGCUGGGGGAGCAAACCGG